GAUGAAGAACGUAGCGAAAUGCGAUAAGUAAUGUGAAUUGCAGAAUUCAGUGAAUCAUCGAAUCUUUGAACGCACAUUGCGCCCACCAGUAUUCUGGCGGGCAUGCCUGUUCGAGCGUCAUUUCAACCAUCAAGCCCCCCGGCUUGUGUUGGGGACCUGCGGCUGCCGCAGGCCCUGAAAAGCAGUGGCGGGCUCGCUGUCACACCGAGCGUAGUAGAUCUCAUCUCGCUCAGGGCGUGCUGCGGGUUCCGGCCGUUAAACCACCUUCAUAACCCAAGGUUGACCUCGGAUCAGGUAGGAAGACCCGCUGAACUUAAGCAUAUCAAUAAGCGGAGGA
rnacentral:misc_RNA from 1 species